rnacentral:rRNA from 1 species
AGAGUUUGAUCCUGGCUCAGGAUGAACGCUGGCGGCGUGCUUAACACAUGCAAGUCGAACGAACCUUCGGGUUAGUGGCGGACGGGUGAGUAACGCGUGAGAAUCUGCCCUCAGGAGGGGGAUAACGGUUGGAAACGACCGCUAAUACCCCAUAUGCCGCGAGGUGAAAUGAAUUUCGCCUGAGGAUGAGCUCGCGUCUGAUUAGCUAGUUGGUGGGGUAAGAGCCUACCAAGGCAUCGAUCAGUAGCUGGUCUGAGAGGAUGAUCAGCCACACUGGGACUGAGACACGGCCCAGACUCCUACGGGAGGCAGCAGUGGGGAAUUUUCCGCAAUGGGCGGAAGCCUGACGGAGCAACGCCGCGUGAGGGAUGAAGGCCUCUGGGCUGUAAACCUCUUUUAUCAAGGAAGAAGAUCUGACGGUACUUGAUGAAUAAGCCACGGCUAAUUCCGUGCCAGCAGCCGCGGUAAUACGGGAGUGGCAAGCGUUAUCCGGAAUUAUUGGGCGUAAAGCGUCCGCAGGCGGUCUUGUAAGUCUGUUGUUAAAGCGUGGAGCUUAACUCCAUUUCAGCAAUGGAAACUGUAAGACUAGAGUGUGGUAGGGGCAGAGGGAAUUCCCGGUGUAGCGGUGAAAUGCGUAGAUAUCGGGAAGAACACCAGUGGCGAAGGCGCUCUGCUGGGCCAUAACUGACGCUCAUGGACGAAAGCCAGGGGAGCGAAAGGGAUUAGAUACCCCUGUAGUCCUGGCCGUAAACGAUGAACACUAGGUGUCGGGGGAAUCGACCCCCUCGGUGUCGUAGCCAACGCGUUAAGUGUUCCGCCUGGGGAGUACGCACGCAAGUGUGAAACUCAAAGGAAUUGACGGGGGCCCGCACAAGCGGUGGAGUAUGUGGUUUAAUUCGAUGCAACGCGAAGAACCUUACCAGGGUUUGACAUCCUGCGAAUCUUUUGGAAACAGAAGAGUGCCUUCGGGAACGCAGUGACAGGUGGUGCAUGGCUGUCGUCAGCUCGUGUCGUGAGGUGUUGGGUUAAGUCCCGCAACGAGCGCAACCCACGUCGUUAGUUGCCAGCAUUUAGUUGGGCACUCUAGCGAGACCGCCGGUGAUAAACCGGAGGAAGGUGUGGAUGACGUCAAGUCAUCAUGCCCCUUACAUCCUGGGCUACACACGUACUACAAUGCUACGGACAAAGGGCAGCAAACUCGCGAGAGCUAGCAAAUCCCAUAAACCGUGGCUCAGUUCAGAUCGUAGGCUGCAACUCGCCUACGUGAAGGAGGAAUCGCUAGUAAUCGCAGGUCAGCAUACUGCGGUGAAUACGUUCCCGGGCCUUGUACACACCGCCCGUCACACCAUGGAAGUUGGCCACGCCCGAAGCCGUUACUCCAACCCUUGUGGAGGAGGAUGUCGAAGGUGGGGCUGAUGACUGGGGUGAAGUCGUAACAAGGUAACC